rnacentral:rRNA from 1 species
UACGAAGGGUGCAAGCGUUGUUCGGAAUUACUGGGCGUAAAGGGCGCGCAGGCGGCUUAUCAAGUCAGGCGUCAAAUUCCCGGGCUCAACCUGGGGGCUGCGCUUGAUACUGAUUGGCUUGAAUGCGGGAGAGGAUAGUGGAAUUCCCAGUGUAGAGGUGAAAUUCGUAGAUAUUGGGAAGAACACCGGUGGCGAAGGCGGCUAUCUGGCCCGUAAUUGACGCUGAGGCGCGAAAGCGUGGGGAGCAAACAGG